ACAAACAGAGAUAUAUCGGAGUCUGGCACGGGGCACAUAAGGCAGCACAUUAGAGAAAGCCGGCCCCUGGAUCCGUCUUUCGCGUUUAUUUUAAGCCCAGUCUUCCCUGGGCCACCUUUAGCAGAUCCUCGUGCGCCCCCGCCCCCUGGCCGUGAAACUCAGCCUCUAUCCAGCAGCGACGACAAGUAAAUGGCCCGCCGGUUUCUGAGCCUUCUGCCCUGCGGGGACACGGUCUGCACCCUGCCCGCGGCCACGGACCAUGACCAUGACCCUCCACACCAAAGCAUCUGGGAUGGCCCUACUGCAUCAGAUCCAAGGGAACGAGCUG
rnacentral:lncRNA from 1 species